GCGGUCUUGGGUAUCACAGUAAUUUGCUGCUGAAGAAGGGAAGCAGGAAUUCUUGGUGGACUUGAGGGAAGGAGGAAGGGGGGGCGGCUUCCCAAGGAUUCCCAUGAGACAAAGAGCCAUCAGACUGGCACAGCUUGGGAAGGAGAAGAAAGAAAGGAGUGUCUAUCUCAGAGACUGGCCAAAGAGAGCAAGGACCCCAUCCGGGAGACCACAGGACAUUUAAGCUCCUGAGGCUAGCCUUGGCUCUGAUGGUUUCUCAGCCUUUCCUUGUUUUGGAUGAACCUGGCAGUGUUGAAGAGGACUGGUCAGUAUGAAAAAUUUCAAACAGACAAAAAAGUUGAAAGAAUGUUA